UGAGGGAAUAUUGGUCAAUGGGCGGAAGCCUGAACCAGCCAUGCCGCGUGAAGGACUAAGGCCCUAUGGGUCGUAAACCUCUUUUGUCGGGGAGUAACGUGCGGGACGGGUCCCGUAUUGAGAGUACCCGAAGAAAAAGCAUCGGCUAACUCCGUGCCAGCAGCCGCGGUAAUACGGAGGAUGCGAGCGUUAUCCGGAUUUAUUGGGUUUAAAGGGUGCGCAGGCGGCGCGCCAAGUCAGCGGUCAAAGUUCCGGGCUCAACCCGGUGUCGCCGUUGAAACUGGCGUGCUCGAGUGCGUGCGAGGAAGGCGGAAUGCGUUGUGUAGCGGUGAAAUGCAUAGAUAUGACGCAGAACUCCGAUUGCGAAGGCAGCUUUCCAGCGCGCUACUGACGCUGAGGCACGAAAGCGUGGGGAUCG
rnacentral:rRNA from 1 species